CGACGUGAGGGAACCUGCCUUUCAGAGGGGGACAACAGCUGGAAACGGCUGCUAAUACCGCAUAACACAUAGGUGUCGCAUGGCAUUUAUGUCAAAGAUUUAUCGCUGAGAGAUGGCCUCGCGUCUGAUUAGCUAGUUGGUAGGGUAACGGCCUACCAAGGCGACGAUCAGUAGCCGGACUGAGAGGUUGGCCGGCCACAUUGGGACUGAGAUACGGCCCAGACUCCUACGGAAGGCAGCAG
rnacentral:rRNA from 1 species